AUUAUUUAUGGACGUACGAAGUUUUCGGCGAUCUCGAUGAUGCAUGAUUAGCGGGCAGCAGCAAAAUUACAAAUUUACUAUAACCAUGCGGAUAUUUCGAGCCAGCUGUAAAUGCAAGCAGACAGGCUGCUUCGUUUGUGAUGGCGAAACGAAAGGAGACAGAAAGAGAGGAAAGAUAUAAUAUACGACAGAAUUAUGGAGGUCAGAUUGAAGAAAGAAAAACGAGGGUCAGUGAGGACUUCUGAGAAUUCUUCAUCUUCUCCUCAUGAAAUCGUUUUUUCGAUAAAUCCAAAGAAUGUGAAAAAGCGCGGACAAUGGCCGAUCGAUAGGACUGCUCGGAGACAGGAUGCAGGAAAUGAAGCAAACAAUCAUUGAGAACAAUCACGGUAUUCCACAGUGUCCCGUGGAAGAAAGACACCGAUGAAAAUACCUUCGACAAUGGGAUAAAGAAAGAACAGAAGGAAAACAAAAGUCAAAAGGAAAAUAUCUUUAGUCGAUUAAUUUAAUAUCUCCCAUAUGAGUCUCAUUUUCGUAGAGUUAAAUUCUAAUCAGGUCUACUUGCAUCUAAUUAAUUUAUCGCGUACUUUCGCACGCUGAUUUUUAUUAAUAUCGAAUUACCUGAAGAAUAAAAAAUUUGCCGAGAUUUACUUAAAAAUGAAUUUUAAAUCGCAACAAUAGAAAUCCCCAGAAAUCUUCGCUCCAGAUUACCGCACGUUCCGAUUUAUGAAGUUUCCUACUGUUUCGACCCGAUAUUUCCAAAUAAACAACAAUGGACGUUCGUGAACUGUUUUAUGUCAACUAAUUAACUAUAACUUAUAUAUUAUGUAUCGUCUACACGUAUGGCGUUUAUUAUAUAAAUCUGUAUCAACUAACGAAUAAAUAAAUAAACGUGUGUGCUUAUCUGAUAUUAUAACACAGCCAUAUCUAUUGGGUUGGCAACUAAGUAAUUGCGGACUUUGUCAAUACCACCUAAUGACAAAAUCCGCAAUCACUUAGUUGCCAAUCCAAUAAUUCCACUAUGUCGAACACUAUAAUUUAUAUUGAAUAAAAAGUAGCUUUUUACGUCCAUGGAACUUUUACAAUAAAGGACACUAUACACGUGUGCAACGAAGAAGCAGACAAACAAAUAUCUCUACCGACCACGUCUAGUUUUUCGGAAUUUCGGAAAUGAAACAUAAUACGCGCGCGAAGAUAACCAGUCAACUGAUACGAUCUCUUCGAAAAGCGUGUACCGAAACUAUGUGGCAAAAAAUAAACGACGACAAGUAUACUCGUCAGACUGGGAGUACGAGUGGCUGUU
rnacentral:misc_RNA from 1 species